CUCCAGGAAGCCCACCUGCUCUCCCAGGCUUCCUACACUGUCAGACCUCCACCCAGAAGCCCUUGCUGUUACCUCCUGCACAGCCUUGGUUUUCUCUGGCCCUGGACCUUUGCCCCCGAGACUGCCCCCUACACUGCACUGUCUCCACCCGUCCUGCCCGCCAUCUGUCUCCUCUCCAGAUGGAGGGGUGUUGAAAUUUACCCCUCCAAGGACCAGCUAAAAGUCACCAUCUUAAACCCACAAGGAUACCGAGCAUGUAGGCACAGGGACCCUGCUGGGAAGAGGGAGGGAUCCGGGCCCCGGGCCUCAAGAUGCUCCUGGUUUAACAACAGCACUGUUUCCAUCGCUGGAAGCCAGGUGCUGUUCUGAGCACUGCUUGUAGAAUGAUCUCUGCAUGGAGGAUGCCCAUGGUGCAGAGGAGGGAAACCGGCCUUCUUCAGAGAGGUCAUCUACACGCAGGUGCAACGUGAUGGAAAGGGGGCUUGAACCCAGGCAGUGUAGUCCAGGGUUAGUCUCAAAACCACAGUAUGGCCGCCUUUUCCCAGGGAGCAGAAAGGGUCAUUCCAAGCCAUGGAAGCCAAAUUAAAACCCUUUUAUAGUACUCAAAGGGGCCACAAAACAAACCUUGGCAAAGACAGAAUACAACAGCCUUCUCUAGCCUGCCCUCCCAGGAAGGCAGCUUGAGUGGAUCUCAUAACCAACUCGUCUUUAGCACACUUGUUCCUCACACUGGCUAGGGCUCUCUGCCCUGCUCCUGAGCCCCCAGGGUCCCCCCAUCACAGCGUUUACUUUCCCCCAUCUGACCUCUCCUGUCCAUUAUGAGGUCAAGGCCAGCUCUUCCCGUGUUAUCAACAGCCCCCGGAGCACCCAGCACUCUGAAGACGUGUUGAAUGACUGGACCAGAAGACCCCUACCCACUCAAGCUCCUGCCACUCCUCUUCUCCCUGCACACGACCGCGUCCUCAACCCCAGGCUUCAGGAACCACUCAGCCCAUGCUUUACAGAUGAAACCAAUAAAAUGUGAUAGAUGGGGACAAGAAAGGGACUAACACCCGCCAAUGUUUAUCCUGCACUAGGGGGUUGGCACAUUCAUACCCGGGGCAUGAAAGCAGUGUUCCCAGCAUCACAUACCCAGGAGAGGGUACAGCUAGGACCCGAAGCCUCCAGUUACGGAAGGAAAAGGUCUGAGCCACUACAGAUGAUGUGCCAACCUGAAAUAAGAAUAGGAAGCUCGAUUUCCAGAUGAUUUAGAAAGAGAACUAAUAUACACCUGGCUGCAGACACAGUGAAUAUACCUCAGGGAUGUUCUCAGGAUGGAAAAUAAAAGAUGCUGAGGUCACUGCCCUUUCUAUCUUUUUUUAGAAAAAGAAAAAAAGUGUGAACUUAAUGAUGAAAUUAUUUGCAGUGCUCUGAAGGGUGGAUGGCAGAGCAGAGCAACUCUGAAGGCACUGAAAAGAGGUGGGAAGUCAGUUGGCACUUCAAAGGACCCCAGGACCUUUGCACAACCCUGGGCAGAAGAGAAUGGAAAGUUCCAAUUGUGACAGAAACAGAAAUUCCCACAUCAGUGUGAGGUGGGGGCUCAGGGUCAGAUUUAUGGCAGUGGAAAUAAAAUAAAGCGUGAUAUUUAUUGCCCCCCUACA